rnacentral:snRNA from 1 species
GUGCUCGCUUCAGCAGCACAUAUACUAAAACUGGGACGGUACAGAGAAGAUUAGCAUGGCCUCUGUGCAAGGAUGACACGCAAAUUUGUGAAGUGUUCCAUAUUUAA